rnacentral:lncRNA from 1 species
CUGAGAGCCUCCAUCUUACUGUUUGCAUCACCAAAGAGGAAGCAGCCUUCUUUCUCAGAGUUUGAAAAGACAUCACUGAAGGACUGUGAUGGACCCUUCUUGGUUAAGGAUCCAGGAUCACACAGCAGUAGGAAUCGUAUAGCUGGGAGAAGAGAGUCCAGGGUGUACAGAGGAAGGAAGAGGAAGCAGUUCCCAAAGAAGAUGAGAAAACUGAGGCACAAAUUGCUUAAGAAAAAUAGCUCAAAAAUGGCCAAUUCAAACCCAAGCAGUCGGUUCUACAUCACUCACAGUCCCAACAGUUGGCAGGUGAGAAGAUCAAGGCCCAGAGAAAAAGAGGAAAGUCCCCAUGUUCCUGUGCAUCAGGGUCUCCUCUCCACUCCCCGUAUCAGCGAUCUUUCUCACCCUGCCACUGCCUCCCGUGUCGUAACAGUUCAGAGGACACUGAAGGCUGGGAGGUGCCGGAAAAGCAGAGCUGGAAGGGCACAGAGAGAUCCCAUCUCCUGCCACUGUACAGACAGUGAGACUCGCCUUAGGUCACAGGACGAGUCAGUGUUGGAGACAGGACCAGAGCUCUCACCUCACCGUGUGAGCUGUGACCAGACUCUCCCAGCUGUGCUGCCUCCCUCACUCUUGAGGUCUCAGAGGUAG